rnacentral:rRNA from 1 species
UACGUAGGGGGCGAGCGUUGUCCGGAAUCACUGGGCGUAAAGGGCGUGUAGGCGGCUAGAGAAGUCGCAGGUGAAAUCCCACGGCUCAACCGUGGAACUGCCUGCGAAACCAUUUAGCUUGAGGACAGGAGAGGAAAGUGGAAUUCCUGGUGUAGCGGUGAUAUGCGUAGAUAUCAGGAGGAACACCGGUGGCGAAGGCGGCUUUCUGGCCUGGUCCUGACGCUGAGGCGCGAAAGCUAGGGUAGCGAACAGGAUUAGAUACC